rnacentral:tRNA from 1 species
GGGACGCUAGUUAAAUAGAAGAUAACGAUGCCUUGUCAAGGCGUAAUUGCGGGUUGGAGCCCCGCGUAUCCUA